GUGGGGAAUAUUGGGCAAUGGGGGAAACCCUGACCCAGCAACGCCGCGUGAAGGAAGAAGGUUUUCGGAUCGUAAACUUCUAUCCUUGGUGAAGAUAAUGACGGUAGCCAAGAAGGAAGCCCCGGCUAACUACGUGCCAGCAGCCGCGGUAAUACGUAGGGGGCAAGCGUUGUCCGGAAUGAUUGGGCGUAAAGGGCGCGUAGGCGGCCUGGUAAGUCUGGAGUGAAAGUCUUGCUUUUAAGGUGGGAAUUGCUUUGGAUACUGUCGGGCUUGAGUGCAGGAGAGGUAAGCGGAAUUCCCGGUGUAGCGGUGAAAUGCGUAGAGAUCGGGAGGAACACCAGUGGCGAAGGCGGCUUACUGGACUGUAACUGACGCUGAGGCGCGAAAGUGUGGGGAGCAAACAGGAUUAGAAACCCCAGUAGUCC
rnacentral:rRNA from 1 species